GGUUGUUUAUGUUAUUUCGAUAACAGUAAAGGUGUAGCGCUACAUGAAGUGGCUGAAAACCAAGACUUUUUAAAGAUUUUAAGCAAAAUGUCGGGACACCGGGACCUUUGAUGGAAAACCUGGAUGUCUGGUCACCCUAGUCUGGGAUACAGAUGCUGUGACUAGGGCCCCAGAGCUAAAAAGAGAGGUGAAGCCAGUGCAGGUUUCACCCUUUGACCUUAGGAAGCCAGUACAGAUUGGACAGCACAUGAAGGAACUGCCAGGGCUUGAGGUUGACCACGACUUCUGCUUAUCAACACCUAAGGAACAACAGAAGCAGCAACUUUGCACAAGGUUUGCCCUUGCCAGUGCCAGGACUUCAACCUUCUGCAUGUCUUGGCUGCUUGCCAUUUUUAAAAUGAGAACUGACUUGGUUUCAUGCAGGGUUGUGCAGAUCAUUUUAAUGUGCAAGAUGAAAUCAG